rnacentral:rRNA from 1 species
UACGGAGGGUGCAAGCGUUAUCCGGAUUUACUGGGUUUAAAGGGUGCGUAGGCGGAUAGGUAAGUCAGUGGUGAAAUCUUCGAGCUUAACUCGGAAAUUGCCUUUGAUACUAUCUAUCUUGAAUAUUGUGGAGGUAAGCGGAAUAUGUCAUGUAGCGGUGAAAUGCUUAGAUAUGACAUAGAACACCUAUUGCGAAGGCAGCUUACUACGCAUAUAUUGACGCUGAGGCACGAAAGCGUGGGGAUCAAACAGG